rnacentral:lncRNA from 1 species
AUUCGUAUUUCCCAUAAAAAAAUAUGUUUUCCUUGAGGAUCUCAAAAUAAAUUACUGUACGAUCAGUCUAGAACUGACUGUAUUCUAGAAGCGAUUUCAGAUUUUUUGACUGUAUGACCAGUCGUGAUUUUGAAGAAAAAAGUAACAGCAAUUUGAAGGUAUAUACGUGUAUAUGUGAUAUUAUGAACUAUCCAGGGAACUAUAACGUGUAAUUACUUUCAUCAGACAAUACAAAUAUAUUUCUGAUGAAU